GAUUAUCCUGCGUGUUGCUUUGACAGGUGUGAUGAUCUCUCUGUUGAAGGAUUUAAAAGAGUCGAUUUUCCCUAAAUCCCCUCAAGACAUCACCGUCAGUCACCUCUUCAAAGACAACAUGGCUGGGCCCAGCUAUGAUUACGACUGCUUCUUCUCUGAAAAGAUCGCCGAGAAGAA